GGAUCGAUGAUGAUUACUUCUCUCAAACACAUUUCUUAGAAGUCUGAACAAAAUGAGUGAGAACUCAAUGUCGCAGUUCUCCUCAUAGCUGAGGUCC